UAACAUUUUUGGGGUGAAAUUUUAAGGGGAUAAUGAAUCAUUUCCUUUUUUCAACAAACUUAUUUUCCAAACACUAGAGACACAGAGGUACAUAAAGCAGAUACCUGCUUUCACCAAGUCUCCCCCAGCACACAUACCCCUAAAUGGAUUGGUGUUACUUUUGGCUCAGUUUCCUAAAAGAGAAUAAUCAAAAUAUGCUACAAAUGGUAGCAUAUCAGGGACUCUCUUCUGAAGUUUAUUUUAUCACCAUAACGGUUAAAAAACACCUAACCCAUCUUUUUACAUCUGUUUCCGUAUACAUAAUAUGGCAGUAAUGGUAAAACUUCUAUCUUUUUAGGGUCUUUGUGAGAAAAUUUUAAAAGCUUCUGGAAAGGUGAACUGCAUAGUAAGACAGUAAGACAAAAAUACAGUAAUUCAGAGAGUAGAAAAAUAAUGAAAGUACAUUACAUAAAUAAACAAUAAAACUUUGAGAACAGGAUGUGGUACAAUUGUAAAAAUAAGCAUGUGCAUACAAUAUAAUCUAGCAAUUAUGCUCCCAUGUACUUCUAUAUACUUAAAUGUAGGUAUAUAUCCAAAUGUCUGUGGUCAGGAAAAUGGAUAAACAUACUGGAAUAUAUACAAUUAAGUAUUAUAUUAAGUUAAAGUAGGGUGGUGAACACAAAACACAAUACACAAAGGAUGCAUUAUAGAAUGGUACACCUGAAAUCUCUAUGCUUAUUAACCAAUGUCACCCCAAUAAAUUCAACAAAAAAGAAAAAAAAUAGUUCCUAGAAAAGC